UACGGGGGGGGUAAGCGUUGUUCGGAAUUACUGGGCGUAAAGGGCUCGUAGGCGGCCAACUAAGUCAGACGUGAAAUCCCUCAGCUUAACUGGGGAACUGCGUCUGAUACUGGAUGGCUUGGAUUUGGGAGAGGGAUGCGGAAUUCCAGGUGUAGCGGUGAAAUGCGUAGAUAUCUGGAGGAACACCGAUGGCGAAGGCGGCAUCCUGGACCGGUAUUGACGCUGAGGCGCGAAAGCCAGGGGAGCAAACGGG
rnacentral:rRNA from 1 species